rnacentral:rRNA from 1 species
GACGAACGCUGGCGGCGUGCUUAACACAUGCAAGUCGAACGGAAAGGCCCUGCUUUUGUGGGGUUCUCGAGUGGCGAACGGGUGAGUAACACGUGAGUAACCUGCCCUUGACUUUGGGAUAACUUCAGGAAACUGGGGCUAAUACCGGAUAGGAGCUCCUGCUGCAUGGUGGGGGUUGGAAAGUUUCGGCGGUUGGGGAUGGACUUGCGGCUUAUCAUCUUGUUGGUGGGGUAGUGGCUUACCAAGGCUUUGACGGGUAGCCGGCCUGAGAGGGUGACCGGCCACAUUGGGACUGAGAUACGGCCCAGACUCAUACGGGAGGCAGCGGUGGGGGAUAUUGCGCAAUGGGCGGAAGCCGGAUGCAGCAACGCCGCGUGCGGGAUGACGGCCUUCGGGUUGUAAACAGCUUUCGCCUGUAACGAAGCGUGAGUGACGGUAAUGAGUAAAGAAGCACCGGCUAACUACGUG